AUUUUUGAGAACCACCUUGUAGAUAAAACAUGUUUUUUCAAUUACAGAAUUGUAAGAAACCUGGAGAGUCAGUAGGGUACAUAAGUGCAACUUUGUAAUAACUAUGUAUUAUUGUAAUUUAUGUAUGAUAGAGGUGGUGGGUGGGAAAGGGUUGUAGUAGGCAUCUUUUCCUUCUUCCCAGACUUGUGUGUACCCAAAUAGAACUUGUAUAGUCCCAUAGAUACACCACCAAGAAAAAUAACCAAACAAAUCCCCUCCCCCCAAUUUUUUUUCAUUGUUGUACACAGUGUGGCUGAACUGUUAAAAGUUGUUAUUUUGGAGAAAAAAGCACUUUCAAAGGUGCAGAAUGGCUUAUUUCACCUUUACUGCACUUCCCUAUCCACCCCUAGUGGGACACACCCACCAACAAAAAAAUAUCGUGAAAGCAUUUUUCAUGAAAUUUUUUGUAACUCAAAAGAUUAUCAAUAAAAAUUUGUAAUUUAUUUUGUUUUUACUUCAUUUCCACCAAAUUUUGAAGAUUUCAAGUCAGAAGAUGUGGGAAGAUUUCCUUUACGAACAUUUUUUCAUUCUUAGCUCUGUUGGUAAUUUAUGAUGUAUUUUGUGAAAAAAAUGAUGCUAAUUUUGGUGAUUGUAAUUUUGUUUGGAAGAAUUGAGAGCUUCUUUCGAGACAAGUUUUUUUUUCUUGAAAGCCCCAUCAUUGUAGAUUAAAAUGAUUCAUGAUUUGGCAUUCUUCUGUAAAUAUUUUUUGAGGUGUUAAUUAAAAAGAAGUUGGGGUUAAAAAUGACUGAUUUAACAUGGUAGCUAAGGGUUAAGGAUUGGAAGGCUCUUCAUCGAAAUGUUGAACGGCGAACGUUCGUCCAUUCUUGAUCGUUUUCUUUUCGGCGAUGAGGACUAUCAACGACUGAAGUCAUUCUUUAAGGAACACUUUCCUCCCCAAGCAUCAGAGGAAACAUUAGAGAUCUUAAAUUUAAUUUUUAAUCAACGUAAGAUGCUUAGAGCAGCAGACAUCUUGUGCACUUCAACUGCCUUGAAGAAACAUGCCAAAAGUUAGAUUGGUUUUCAUCAUUAGUACUUCUGGCAAAACAAGAGACGCUAAUAAUAAACAUGAAACAACGUUCUGCGACCGAACCAUUGUUUACAUGUGCUUAUAAUAAAUUGCCAGAAGAUCGCCAACAAG